AGCGGAGGAAAAGAAACCAACUGGGAUUACCUUAGUAACGGCGAGUGAAGCGGUAAAAGCUCAAAUUUGAAAUCUGGUACUUUCAGUGCCCGAGUUGUAAUUUGUAGAAUUUGUCUUUGAUUAGGUCCUUGUCUAUGUUCCUUGGAACAGGACGUCAUAGAGGGUGAGAAUCCCGUUUGGCGAGGAUACCUUUUCUCUGUAAGACUUUUUCGAAGAGUCGAGUUGUUUGGGAAUGCAGCUCAAAGUGGGUGGUAAAUUCCAUCUAAAGCUAAAUAUUGGCGAGAGACCGAUAGCGAACAAGUACAGUGAUGGAAAGAUGAAAAGAACUUUGAAAAGAGAGUGAAAAAGUACGUGAAAUUGUUGAAAGGGAAGGGCAUUUGAUCAGACAUGGUGUUUUUUGCAUGCACUCGCCUCUCGUGGGCUUGGGCCUCUCAAAAAUUUCACUGGGCCAACAUCAAUUCUGGCAGCAGGAUAAAUCAUUAAGAAUGUAGCUACUUCGGUAGUGUUAUAGCUUUUUGGAAUACUGUUAGCCGGGAUUGAGGACUGCGCUUCGGCAAGGAUGUUGGCAUAAUGGUUAAAUGCUGCCCGUCUUGAACA
rnacentral:rRNA from 1 species